AUUUAUAUAGUUUAAAAAAAACAUUACAUUUUCACUGUAAAAAUAAAGAAAAACUUUUAUAAAUA
rnacentral:tRNA from 1 species